CUUUCCAGACUCUGACUUUCAUUUUGAGCCUGUGCUGGAAAGUGGUUUGAGAGAGAAAUACGUAUUAAGUAACAAGGUCUGAGCAAUGUUUCUAAGCAAAGGAGUUUAAAGUAAUAAACUAAUUUUAGAUAAAGAAGUUACUAUUAAUCCCAGAUUGGGUCUUGGGAUACAGUCAGUGGAAUAAAAGUGAAGUUUAUGAAGAUUUUUAAAAUAAGAAAAUGUAUUGAAGCUACUUCAGCACUGGAAGAAAACUAAGUCAACUGCAUAAUAAUUAAGCAAGAACUAAUUAUGGUUCUGGCAGAAUCGGUUUUCUCCAGGAAACAAGGACAAAAGCUGAAGAGACCCUGGAGAAGCAGCACUUGUGACCGGGUGUUACGCUCUUUCCAUGUCUUGGUUGCAAUUGUAAUGUCUAUCUGCUUAAUUAACACAGCAAUGACUGGCUGCACAAGAACAGAUUUAAAUCAUCUCAAGGACUGAUCCAGGGUUUAGCAAGUUCAACCUGAAGCCAUCAGUUUACCUUGAACAUUUAUUGAACUCCAUAGGAGAGCUCCCACUCUGUAAUCAGCUUUUGUGUGUGUGGACCUUGAGUGUAUGUGUUUGCAGUUGGAGCAUUUUAGUUUUUUUUUACUGGACUGGAUUAAGCAAAAUAAUAUGUAUCUCUUUAGCAAAGUGUGUCUGUAUGUGAGAGGAAGAGAGACAAGCCUCUGCAUCAGACAGAGUUGAAUGCUAAUUCAGCUGCUCCAGGACCGACUGUCAAUGUUGGUGGGAAUGAAAGAAGCUAGUUACAGCAGCUCUACCCGCUCUGAAAUCUACCUGAAGUCUUUAGAUCUGGGAUGUGGAGAAUGGGUUGAGUGUGGCAACUUUCAAAACCUGUUUUGUCCAGCUUAAACUGAGCUGUUCAAUCAACUUCUAGCCAGUGUGGCGAUGGACUGCUAUCUUUCAGAUCGUGACCCCAUUCUCUUGGCUUUAGGAUGGUAGUGACUUGGGAAUGGGUACCUCAGAAAGGUCUGACUUGAACUUUUAGACUUUGUCACUUGAUUGUAAACUCUCCAACUCUCUCCCCCAACCCCUCCAUUUGUUUUCAACGAAAUUACCUUGAAACCUUUCAAAUUCCAAGGAACAAAACUUUGUCUGCAGAAUACAGUUUCUCAAUUUAAUCCUUUGAGUUCUGGUCAAUAUAGACUGGACAUGCUCCAAACAAAUUUAAUCUAUAUAAAUAUGUAUACUUUCCACUUGCCUGCUUUGGUGCAGCUCCAACAACACUCAAAAAGCUUGAUGCCAUCCAGGAAAAAGGAUCCUGCUUGAUUGGCAUCACAUCCAUCACCACCAACACUCAGUAACAAAGUGUAUGCCAUCUAGAAAUUGCACUGCAAAAAUUCACCAAGGUGCCUCUUUCAGCACCUUCCAAACCCAUGACCUCUUCCAUCUGGAAAGACAAGGGCAGCAGGCAUAGGAACACCAUCACCUGCAAGUUCCCCUCCAAACCACUAACUCCUGACUUGGAAAUACAGCACUGUUCUUUCAGUGACAUUGGAUCAAAAUCCUGAAACUCCCUUCCUAAUGGCACUCUGGGUCUAUCUACAGCACGUGGGUUGCACCUGUUCAAACAGGCAGUUCACCACCGACUUCUCCAGGUCAAUCAGGGACAGGCAAUAAAUGCUGGUCCAGCCAGUGACACCCAUGUCCCAUGAAUGAAUUAGAAAAAAAUCUCAUCUGCAUAUGAGACUUGCUAUCCUGUUGUCAUUUGUUCAUGGAUAUAACAAAUGCUUGCUGUUGCCAACCACUCAGUCAAUUUCCUAAUCCUUCACGAAUACCUAGAUAACAAGCAGUAAAAUUUAGGAAAAGAUCUUUGAAUUGCAAACUGUAUCUAAAUACAUGAAACAAUUACAAUGUGAUAGACAAAUUAAUUGCAGAGAGAGCGACAAAUAGGUUCGACUGAAUAGCUAUUGCAGAGAUCACGUUGCUUGGUGACUGAUGUUGUGAGGCAAAUAUUCAGGGUGCUUGGUCUCUAAAAGUCAGCCUUGUGAUGCAUUUGGGAUGGGUAAUAAUAAAGUCUGACAAAAGAACAGCUUUGAGGAAGGACCUAAAAUCAUGAGACCAGGAAGUAAAGUCAUUCUGGAUGAAGAUAAGAAAUAACAAGGAACAUAAAAUGCUGGUGAAAGUAGUCUAUUCACACAUUCACAUUUUAAAGCAUUUAUCAUGAAAUAUGAAUAAUUUUUAGCAAAUAAAACACAAUGAACGUGGACACUUUCAUUUAUAUGUUGGUUGAACAUCUAGCUCCCUCCCACCUCCCCUCCAAAUUUUCCUUCACCCUUGAGGAGAUGUCCUUAAUCCUGGCACCUGGCAGGCAAUACAGCCUUCAGAACUCCCACUUAUGGCUGCAGAGAACAGUAUCUAUCCCCUAAUUGUACUGUCUCCUACUACUAAUACAUUCCUCUUUCCUUCCCUGACUUGAAUACCAUUCUGUACGACGUACUUUGGUCAGUUUGCUCAUGCUCCCUGCAGUCCUUAAUCUCGUCCACACAGUUUACAAGAACCUUGGAAAUGUUGGACAAUUGCAAGGGCUGAGGCUCUUCAAUUUUAACCCACAGGUCCUCAAACCUGCCUCACCAGCAUUCACACACCCAUGUCCCUGAUCACAGAUCAAUUUUGAAUUAGCUAGUGUGAGGGGUGUGACUGUGCCUAGAGCACAAUUUCUAGGUAACCUUUGAGAAGAUGUUCCCAACUUAUGGGAGAUGAUUCACAUUUUCGAGUCCUCCCUGCUUAUUAUAAUUGAUGGGGCUGGGACUGUGGGCAGGAGCUGUUUGGUUUGGGAGCUUGUUGGAGGAGGGACCUUUCUUCUUUAGGUGUUUAAUGAAAUGCUCAGUUUCUCAUCCUGACAAGUCAUCGACGAAUUGGACCUCAGCUUCUGAGUGAGUGAGUAUGCGCACACGUGGGUAUCAGCUAUGACCCUGUGUGACAAGGAAUGAUACAGUUGUCUUAGUGAAAAUGGAAUUGAGAGAAAAUAGGAGCUAGUCCAGAAUGUAAUAUUGAUGCCCUGUAUUCUGACACACAUAAAGCAUCAAUAAACUGAUCUCAGCUCAGAGGCUGAUUGCAGUGAGCUAAAACCUGUUUGAAGGGUACAACUUUGGAAAUUGCACUGCAAUGGUGAGGAUGGGCUGGGCUUUGGAGAAUCGAUGAUGGGGAGUGGUGACAUUGCAGGCCACCAUGAGAUCCACAAAUGACACUGAUCCAGAAGGAGCAAAUCUCUGGUCAGGAACAGGCCAUGGCUGAAGUUGGGAAAGCAGGAGGAGCUGGAGGGCAGUCAACAGAAAGCAGCAGCAGUGGGGUUUCGGUUACAAUCAUCGACCUGAAAAUAAAACCAAUGAUGCAGCUCAUGUAAGCUAUGGUACACUCUGGUACUCAGCAUCAGACUUUAAAAAAACAGAGGGUAAUUCAAGUCAGGAAACUGAACAAACUCUCAGGAUCUGGUAAUAGGUGACCAAAUCAUUUGAUUCUCACUCGGGGGGUAGUCAUGGUCUGGAGGACACUGCUGUAGGUCAAGGCAGGCUGGUUAGACUGCUUCCCUUGAUUUUCUGGGACUUGACCAUAGCUAUUACAGAUGAUGUUGGGGUCCAUAUCCCAUCACUCCCACACAAUUCCGCCCCUGGACCCUCGACCCAUCAUUGCCUUAAUGCUAACCCAAUGCCAACUACUGCCUCUAAACCCCAAGAAAUCCUAUGCCAUCUCAUCCCAUACACAACACAUCCCAUAGACAGACUCAGAAACCAUGCACAAGAAAAACAAUUCCAAACAUCUAUUACUGCUCUGACUGUACAGACUUGGUAGUGAAAAGAAUUCCCACUCACGAAGCAAUCAAAACUUUUAAAUCUGAAGUGGUUAAUUUCGUAUUGAAGCACAUUUCUAUUCAUACACCGAGCACUUUAUCAGCAUCUUUAAGAUGCCAAUGAAACUGUGAACGUAGAACUGCCUGCUAAUAAAUUGGAGUUAUUGAA